GGAGGGAUGGCUGAGCGGUCGAUAGCGGCGGUCUUGAAAACCGCUUCCCGGAAACGGGACGCAGGUUCGAAUCCUGCUCCCUCCGCCA
rnacentral:tRNA from 1 species